GUGAUCUGAAGUAGUAGGAGGCAGUGGACGGUCGCGGCGGGGUAUCUGAAAUGACGUGCUUGGUUUGCGUGUGGUCCAGCUAAGCCACCGUAGAUACACCUGGUUUGGGGAAAAGGCUGGUCUUCACACCAGUGUAAACCGAGGCGCGGUUACCCUUGCUUACAGCGUUGUCUGAAGUGCGCAGACACCACCUCCCGAGGAGUCCAGUCAUUUCCAGACUUUGGACACAAUGAGAAGCUGGAGUGGGAGAUAUAAGCUGCGUUGGGAAGAGAUAGCACUUAGAAAACAGAUGUUCCACUGCGUGGCAGAGACAAAGCCACUCCUACACCAGAUCAUUUCAUUUUCCCCUGGCACUCAGGAAGACUUCAUCUUCCAGAGGAACCAGUUAAGGAUUCCAAGGUACUAGAAGAUGGAGGGCUCACUGGAUGGAAGAAGGAG
rnacentral:lncRNA from 13 species